rnacentral:lncRNA from 1 species
CAGCUCAGCAAGGCCUUUUCCAGAUCACUCAUCCAGUGGGUGUUUGGGUGAGAUGUGGCCUCGCGUUCAGUUUCUAAGCUGGAGCUUAUGACCCCCUCAAUGGGGUGGAAAUCCUAAAGCUUCGGUGGGCAUCAGAGUCUCUUGCUUAAAAGUGAACACCCCAGAGCCUCCCUCAGCUUCCAAUCUGUAGAUCAGAGUGGGCCUCAGAUUCUAAUGUAAGUGGCCUCUAGACACGAGCCCUGAUUCCUCUGAUCAUAAAGCACUCUUCAUAUGUCGGACAUUAUCAUUACAAGGAGCAGUAGUGUGCCGCUCAAGAGCUUUUACCUGCAUUUAUUUUAAGUUUUAAUUCACAGAUAAAAUUGCAUGUAUUUCCCGUACACAACAUGAUAUUGUGAAACCUGUAAUGAUUUCUACUUUUAUACCUAAGGUGAAAGUGCAGCACAGCUUGUUUAUAAGUUAACAGAAAUAACACAAUCUCAUACACACGCAUACAUGCGCGUGCAUGGAAAGAACAGAUCUGAUUCUACCCAAUUCAAUAGAUGACAGACAGAAAAUGCAUGAAAACUUCAGGGGCCGAGUAAACAUGU